rnacentral:rRNA from 1 species
UAGGUGUGUGUUCCAGGUAAAUCCGGUUCACUUUAACACUGAGGCGUGACGACGAGGCACUACGGUGCUGAAGCAACAAAUGCCCUGCUUCCAGGAAAAGCCUCUAAGCAUCAGGUAACAUCAAAUCGUACCCCAAACCGACACAGGUGGUCAGGUAGAGAAUACCAAGGCGCUUGAGAGAACUCGGGUGAAGGAACUAGGCAAAAUGGUGCCGUAACUUCGGGAGAAGGCACGCUGACACGUAGGUGAAGUGAUUUACUCAUGGAGCUGAAGUCAGUCGAAGAUACCAGCUGGCUGCAACUGUUUAUUAAAAACACAGCACUGUGCAAACACGAAAGUGGACGUAUACGGUGUGACGCCUGCCCGGUGCCGGAAGGUUAAUUGAUGGGGUCAGCGCAAGCGAAGCUCCUGAUCGAAGCCCCGGUAAACGGCGGCCGUAACUAUAACGGUCCUAAGGUAGCGAAAUUCCUUGUCGGGUAAGUUCCGACCUGCACGAAUGGCGUAAUGAUGGCCAGGCUGUCUCCACCCGAGACUCAGUGAAAUUGAACUCGCUGUGAAGAUGCAGUGUACCCGCGGCAAGACGGAAAGACCCCGUGAACCUUUACUAUAGCUUGACACUGAACAUUGAGCCUUGAUGUGUAGGAUAGGUGGGAGGCUUUGAAGUGUGGACGCCAGUCUGCAUGGAGCCGACCUUGAAAUACCACCCUUUAAUGUUUGAUGUUCUAACGUGGACCCGUAAUCCGGGUUGCGGACAGUGUCUGGUGGGUAGUUUGACUGGGGCGGUCUCCUCCUAAAGAGUAACGGAGGAGCACGAAGGUUGGCUAAUCCUGGUCGGACAUCAGGAGGUUAGUGCAAUGGCAUAAGCCAGCUUGACUGCGAGCGUGACGGCGCGAGCAGGUGCGAAAGCAGGUCAUAGUGAUCCGGUGGUUCUGAAUGGAAGGGCCAUCGCUCAACGGAUAAAAGGUACUCCGGGGAUAACAGGCUGAUACCGCCCAAGAGUUCAUAUCGACGGCGGUGUUUGGCACCUCGAUGUCGGCUCAUCACAUCCUGGGGCUGAAGUAGGUCCCAAGGGUAUGGCUGUUCGCCAUUUAAAGUGGUACGCGAGCUGGGUUUAGAACGUCGUGAGACAGUUCGGUCCCUAUCUGCCGUGGGCGCUGGAGAACUGAGGGGGGCUGCUCCUAGUACGAGAGGACCGGAGUGGACGCAUCACUGGUGUUCGGGUUGUCAUGCCAAUGGCACUGCCCGGUAGCUAAAUGCGGAAGAGAUAAGUGCUGAAAGCAUCUAAGCACGAAACUUGCCCCGAGAUGAGUUCUCCCUGAGACUUAGAGUCUCCUGAAGGAACGUUGAAGACGACGACGUUGAUAGGCCGGGUGUGUAAGCGCAGCGAUGCGUUGAGCUAACCGGUACUAAUGAACCGUGAGG